rnacentral:rRNA from 1 species
AAUCCAUAGGUUAAUGAGGCGAACCGGGGGAACUGAAACAUCUAAGUACCCCGAGGAAAAGAAAUCAACCGAGAUUCCCCCAGUAGCGGCGAGCGAACGGGGAGGAGCCCAGAGCCUGAAUCAGCAUGUGUGUUAGUGGAAGCGUCUGGAAAGGCGCGCGAUACAGGGUGACAGCCCCGUACACAAAAGCGCAUGUGCUGUGAGCUCGAUGAGUAGGGCGGGACACGUGGUAUCCUGUCUGAAUAUGGGGGGACCAUCCUCCAAGGCUAAAUACUCCUGACUGACCGAUAGUGAACCAGUACCGUGAGGGAAAGGCGAAAAGAACCCCGGCGAGGGGAGUGAAAAAGAACCUGAAACCGUGUACGUACAAGCAGUGGGAGCACAGGUUUACCUGUGUGACUGCGUACCUUUUGUAUAAUGGGUCAGCGACUUAUAUUCUGUAGCAAGGUUAACCGAAUAGGGGAGCCGGAGGGAAACCGAGUCUUAAUUGGGCGUUAAGUUGCAGGGUAUAGACCCGAAACCCGGUGAUCUAGCCAUGGGCAGGUUGAAGGUUGGGUAACACUAACUGGAGGACCGAACCGACUAAUGUUGAAAAAUUAGCGGAUGACCUGUGGCUGGGGGUGAAAGGCCAAUCAAACCGGGAGAUAGCUGGUUCUCCCCGAAAGCUAUUUAGGUAGCGCCUCGUGAAUUCAUCUCCGGGGGUAGAGCACUGUUUCGGCUAGGGGGCCAUCCCGGCUUACCAACCCGAUGCAAACUGCGAAUACCGGAGAAUGUUAUCACGGGAGACACACGGCGGGUGCUAACGUCCGUCGUGAAGAGGGAAACAACCCAGACCGCCAGCUAAGGUCCCAAAGUCAUGGUUAAGUGGGAAACGAUGUGGGAAGGCCCAGACAGCCAGGAUGUUGGCUUAGAAGCAGCCAUCAUUUAAAGAAAGCGUAAUAGCUCACUGGUCGAGUCGGCCUGCGCGGAAGAUGUAACGGGGCUAAACCAUGCACCGAAGCUGCGGCAGCGAACGUAUCACUUAAAGCGAUUCAGCGGGUUACGAUUGACGGAGCGAAGCGACGUCAAAGCGUAUACAAAGUCGAGUCGGUUUAAGGAUACGUUCGUUGGGUAGGGGAGCGUUCUGUAAGCCUGUGAAGGUGGCCUGUGAGGGUUGCUGGAGGUAUCAGAAGUGCGAAUGCUGACAUAAGUAACGAUAAAGCGGGUGAAAAGCCCGCUCGCCGGAAGACCAAGGGUUCCUGUCCAACGUUAAUCGGGGCAGGGUGAGUCGACCCCUAAGGCGAGGCCGAAAGGCGUAGUCGAUGGGAAACAGGUUAAUAUUCCUGUACUUGGUGUUACUGCGAAGGGGGGACGGAGAAGGCUAUGUUGGCCGGGCGACGGUUGUCCCGGUUUAAGCGUGUAGGCUGGUUUUCCAGGCAAAUCCGGAAAAUCAAGGCUGAGGCGUGAUGACGAGGCACUACGGUGCUGAAGCAACAAAUGCCCUGCUUCCAGGAAAAGCCUCUAAGCAUCAGGUAACAUCAAAUCGUACCCCAAACCGACACAGGUGGUCAGGUAGAGAAUACCAAGGCGCUUGAGAGAACUCGGGUGAAGGAACUAGGCAAAAUGGUGCCGUAACUUCGGGAGAAGGCACGCUGACAC